GGUGGCUCAGUGGUAGAGUGCUUGCCUUACAUGCAUGAAGCCCUGGGUUAGUUUCCUCAGCACCA
rnacentral:tRNA from 1 species